rnacentral:rRNA from 1 species
GGUGUGGGAUGGGCCCGCGGCCUAUCAGCUUGUUGGUGGGGUGACGGCCUACCAAGGCGACGACGGGUAGCCGGCCUGAGAGGGUGUCCGGCCACACUGGGACUGAGAUACGGCCCAGACUCCUACGGGAGGCAGCAGUGGGGAAUAUUGCACAAUGGGCGCAAGCCUGAUGCAGCGACGCCGCGUGGGGGAUGACGGCCUUCGGGUUGUAAACCUCUUUCAGCAGGGACGAAGCGCAAGUGACGGUACCUGCAGAAGAAGCACCGGCCAACUACGUGCCAGCAGCCGCGGUAAUACGUAGGGUGCGAGCGUUGUCCGGAAUUACUGGGCGUAAAGAGCUCGUAGGUGGUUUGUCGCGUUGUUCGUGAAAACCGGGGGCUUAACCCUCGGCGUGCGGGCGAUACGGGCAGACUGGAGUACUGCAGGGGAGACUGGAAUUCCUGGUGUAGCGGUGGAAUGCGCAGAUAUCAGGAGGAACACCGGUGGCGAAGGCGGGUCUCUGGGCAGUAACUGACGCUGAGGAGCGAAAGCGUGGGGAGCGAACAGGAUUAGAUACCCUGGUACUCCACGCCGUAAACGGUGGGUACUAGGUGUGGGUUUCCU